CCUACGGGAGGCAGCAGUAGGGAAUCUUCCGCAAUGGACGAAAGUCUGACGGAGCAACGCCGCGUGAACGAUGAAGGCCUUCGGGUCGUAAAGUUCUGUUGUUAGGGAAGAACAAGUGCUAGUUGAAUAAGCUGGCACCUUGACGGUACCUAACCAGAAAGCCACGGCUAACUACGUGCCAGCAGCCGCGGUAAUACGUAGGUGGCAAGCGUUGUCCGGAAUUAUUGGGCGUAAAGCGCGCGCAGGCGGUUUCUUAAGUCUGAUGUGAAAGCCCCCGGCUCAACCGGGGAGGGUCAUUGGAAACUGGGAAACUUGAGUGCAGAAGAGGAAAGUGGAAUUCCAAGUGUAGCGGUGAAAUGCGUAGAGAUUUGGAGGAACACCAGUGGCGAAGGCGACUUUCUGGUCUGUAACUGACGCUGAGGCGCGAAAGCGUGGGGAGCAAACAGGAUUAGAUACCCUGGUAGUCCACGCUGUAAACGAUGAGUGCUAAGUGUUAGUAGGGUUUCCGCCUUUAGUGCUAGAAGUUACGCUAUUAAGCACUCCGCCGUGGGGAGUACGGUCGACAAGACUAGAACUNAAAUGAAUUGACGG
rnacentral:rRNA from 1 species